GACAAACGGAUGGGGGGGGGGGGGACUUGUGGCCUCCUGCCCUGCGGCGAGAAAGGCUGCCCAGGAGCUGCUGCUUCAUGAAAAGAUAGGGGGAAAAGAGAAGCCAGAGAGGAAAGAACAAAUUGUACCCAAGUUUCUUGACUUUCUGCCAAUUUCUAGAGCAUAAAAAAAAGACUUGGGGCAGUAAAACAGCCGUGCGCUGAUUCAUGAUCUUUGGACAGGAGAGCAUGGACGCAUGGAGCCAUUCAGUGGUUAAUCUCAUUACAGGCCAUGGGCUUCCUACGCUGUUGCUGACCUACUCUCUUGGAUGCAGUGGAUGCAGUUUAUUGGCUCCCAUAGAUUCUGGAUAUCGCAUGACGUGUGCAGUCGUUAUUUAACUUGCAGCCAGGUGCUGGAGCUCCAUCAGAGAGCCCAGUGUUCCGGCCCCGCGGAUGAAUAGAGGGCCUGUUGACGGAGCUCGACUGUGGGGCCUCGUGGUUUCUCCCCUCUUACACGCAGAGGCAGCGCCGCAGUGUGCUGCCAGCCAGGACGUUUACCUGCUGCAGAGGAGAGGGCACGAUGAAAGGGCUCCCGCACUCAAGCUCGCUCUCUGACCACAGGGAUCUUAGAAUAAGACUCGUGCACUGGUGUGCUCACUCCCAGUCAUUGAAAUGUGCCUUGAACUAGGACCGGGUGCUGGUCAUCAUGGCUUGAAUGGGCUGAAAGGGUUUGAGUGUAUUUUCCUUAUAGAUGUGAUUGUCCUCGCAUAUCCCUUUAUUUUACUUUAGAGGGGUGUGGACUAUUUAUACAAGGAUCACGUUAGGAUACUUUGGUCACACCCUAUUUCAGAUGUGAAAAAGAAACUAUAUUUAGGAACAUCUUUACACGACAUUAUUAGCUUCACUGCACGUUUAUUUCAGCCCUGCUGCUGUGGAGGCUUCUUUUGUUUUAUUAAAAUAAUCUUCUUUCCUUUGUUUCAUCAUCCACAGACUUUAUGCUGCUGGUCUGUGUCAUGCUACAUUAAAUUAACAUGUUGUGAGUACAGUAAACCCUGUACAGUCCUUGACUGUGUGAUUCAGGCUGAUCAGCAUUGCUGUUGUGAGACCUGCUUGAACUUCCUGGUAGUGAUUUCCCUGAAAGAAAGUCAGAAUGGUUUCACCUGAAAGUCCUUUUCUUUAUCACUCUGACCACUUUGAAAAACAACAAAGUGCCAGACUGUGUUUUCUCUGCUGUGCUGUGUCUUUGCAUGGGUUUUACAAGUGACACCCUUCGCAGCCUACACGUUUGCAGCGUCGCCGCAGAGAGUCUACUGGAAGUUAGUGCGCUCUUUGUUUCUGAGAGAAACCCGACCACAGGAAUACUGCGGUCGGGUUUCUGAUUAGAAGGGGCAUUGAAAGUUUAUCUUACAUGUGACAUCUUGGCAGUACGAAGAAAAAGUUAAGCGGCGCGGAGAAUAAAAAGCAAAUUAAAAUCUUUGCUUGUUCCUGUUUGCCAUAUAUUCUCUGUAGAUGGAGAUAAAGAAGGGGUCCACACGUCAUCCUUCACAUGCUUUUACAAAUGGACGGCCAAUAGAAAGCUUUAAAUCACGUGAGGGGAGCAGGUACUGUGUGUCACACAUGCACACUUUUAUCUACUCCCCUACUGAAUUUUUUUUCACACUUCAUAAUGAAAGACCCCCAGAGGCCUUUGCAGUAAAUGGGGCUAAUAACUCUCUAAAUAAGUCUCUUCUAGUGUUAAAAGGCUGGUUUCUUUGUUCUGAGAGUGUAUACGUGCUGUAAAGUCUUUUUUAUCCCACUACUGUAAUUUUAUGACUACGUGUUUUACCAUUUUAUUUAUUUUUUUUUGCAAAGCCUGUCAGAGAAAGACGGUAUCUUUGGAUAAAAAUGGCACAGAUCGUCUCAUUUUCAGGUAUUCGUAUAUUGAACACCUGUGCUUUUUUUUUAGAGUCGUCGACAAACUCAAUCUGAGUGAUGCUGUAAAAGUAUAUUUUAGGAUGAUCUGGGUUUUGGGUGAGUUGGAACGGCAGAAGGCCUCUGCUGGCUGCAUAAUGACGACGGAGUGGGUGUGAAAGCAAAGUUGUGUGUUAGCGUGUUACAUGGUCCAUCGUUGUGCACCAAGGUGCUGCUGUAAAAAACCUGCUGUUCAGAAACGUUUUGGUUGCUUUUUUGCCAACACUGUAAUUUUAUUUGUAGUUACAUUAAUAAUAUGCCAAUACAUUACCAUAUCAUGGUAAUAAAAACAGUAAACAAAUAUUUACAAAAUGUCCAUAAUUUAUUUAAACAUGUUUCAGUAUUAAGGGUCUUACUCUUUAUGUUACAAAAUUUAAAAAAUAUUUUAUCAACCUUCAAAAAUAAAGUAAAAACUGUACUCUCAAAAUAAUUUUCAAUUCAGCUAAGCUUCAGUGAUUAGAAUAAUUUUUCUAGGCAAUGUAAAAUCCAUUAAAAAAUUAAAACAAGAAAAAAAUCUCUGGUCCGCAAUAAUGUCACAAAAGACAGCAUGAUUAUUUGUUUGUACUUGUUCUGUUCUCAGUGUUUGCAUUUCAGGAGGUUCAGAGAUAAAGCAGCAGGAGAGAGAGAGCAAAAGGGAGAGGUGUUGUGUGAAGUGUGAAUGCUGGUCCCUGUGUGACCAGCAGGCUGCGCUGUAUCACCACUCGCUCCUCUGAACCAACAGCCAGCUCACCAUCACUCAGCUCUUUUUUUUUUCUCAACCUUUUUCCUGUUUACAUUUUAAUAUUUAGCUUGUGGAGGAUUUCCACACAGACUAAGAAGGAAGCUGCAAGUGCAGAGUUGAGCUCAGGUGGAAAUGUCUGAGUGUUAUAGUGAGGUGUGUGUGUGUGUGUGUGUGUGUGUGUGUGUGUGUGUGUGUGUGUGUGUGUGUGUGUGUGUGUGUGUGUGUGUGUGUGUGUGUGUGUGUGUGUGUGUGUGUGUGUGUGUGUGUGUGUGUGUGUGUGUGUGUGUGUGUGUGUGUGUGUGUGUGUGUGUGUUCUAAAAAGAACAAGACCACGACCGUCACCGCCUGCAGCUCAGUAUCCUCCUGUCCCACAUUCUCAUCUGGAAAUAUAAAUAAUAUUAAUCAACAAAGUACGUGAAAAUAUAAAAACAACGCUUAAUAUUUCCCCAGACUUCAGGUCAGAUGACCUCUCUCUCUCUCUCCCAUUUAGCAGUUGUCAGUUUCAGGAAAUGCACAGUGCUCUAUUGGGAAGUGAGGUAUCUGCCUCUUGGCCAGCUUUUUUUUUUUUUUUUUGUAUUUUUUAUCAGCUGGUUACGGGAAGCAGAUGCAUGCACUGGGCAGACAGGUACUUUAAUGAACGCAUGUCGAUGCUCAAACUGCUCAGUGAGCGUCUACGUCCGUGUCGGCACUCAGACACACCCAUGCUGGUGGAAAUGCAGUAAACCCUCAAACCAAAACACAGGCGCCCGAUGCCGAAACAUCCUCCAGCCGCGGUGGUGAACUCUGGUCCACCCCCACACGUACAUGAGUCAGACUAAAACCCAUAGAUCCAGUCACAUGGGUCACGGAGCUUUACUGCAGGAAAGCUACAGCAACUGCAUCUUUUUGGCUGAGUGCUUGAAUGGGAUGUAUGAGUAAGGUGUGUGAGUCCAAACAGGAUAUUAUAGUACACAGGAGCUUCUUCCUGUGGCAAUUUGACUCGGUGGGUUCAGGACAGCCUGGAUGACGAGCAGACAGUUUUUACACACACACACACACACACACACACACACACACACACACACACACACACACACACACACACACACACACUGACUCCUAUCAGAUAACAGACUCAAUAACCACCCUCCCUUCUUACAAGCAAAACAAUAUUAUUGGACUGUUUAACAGUUUCCUGCCGAGCACGGAAAGGUCCGAAGAGGCCGUUUCAUUUGCUUUGGGCCAACGCGAGGUAAACGUGUGUGUGUGUGUGUGUGUGUGUGUGUGUGUGUGUGUGUGUGUGUGUGUGUGUGUGUGUGUGUGUGUGUGUGUGUGUGUGUGUGUGUGUGUGUGUGUGUGUGUGUGUGUGUGUGUGUGUGUGUGUGUGUGUGUGUGUGUGUGUGUGUGUGUGUGUGUGUGUGAAUGUAAA